UUUACAUAGCGCCAUCAAAUUCCGUAGCGCUGUACAAUUGCAUGUUAGUACACCCAUUGUACAGCGCUGUGGAAUUUGUUGGCGCUAUAUAAAUAAUAA